rnacentral:rRNA from 1 species
AUGGUAGAGAGACUUUUUUUGAUAGAAGCUAUGCCACAGGGCAUGGGCGGCUGCAUGACAUCCGUCGAUGUUGUGAGCGUUGACGGUGGAUACUCCAAGUGUAACAAAUGCUACAGGGGCUAUAGUGGCGGAUGUUGCAAACUCACUAAUGCUACAAAGCAACAAGGGAUGGUGCUAGAUGUUGCAGGCCGGCUGAGAGCUGCUUCGAGGGAGGCAGCCGUCGGUGUGUCGUGGAAGACCGAAACGAUUGCAAGGGGGCGCCACCGAUGCUGCAAAUCGGCAGUUGCACUGCUGCAAGGCGACAUGUGCGUGCUGCUACAAGGCGACCGACAUAUUGUUGAUUACCAAAGGUGA